rnacentral:rRNA from 1 species
UAGGGAAUAUUGCGCAAUGGGCGAAAGCCUGACGCAGCCACGCCGUGUGUGUGAUGAAGGCCUUCGGGUCGUAAAGCACUGUCGGAAGGGAAGAUGGCAACCAUACCUAAUACGGUGGGAGCUGACGGUACCUUCAAAGGAAGCACCGGCUAACUCUGUGCCAGCAGCCGCGGUAAGACAGAGGGUGCAAGCGUUGUUCGGAAUUAUUGGGCGUAAAGCGCGCGUAGGCGGUUUGGUAAGUCGGAUGUGAAAGCCCGGGGCUCAACCUCGGAAGUGCAUUCGAAACUGCCUCACUUGAGUCCCGGAGAGGGUGGUGGAAUUCCUGGUGUAGAGGUGAAAUUCGUAGAUAUCAGGAGGAACAUCCGUGGCGAAGGCGACCACCUGGACGGUGACUGACGCUGAGGUGCGAAAGCGUGGGGAGCAAACAGGAUUAGAUACCCCCGUAGUCC